UUUGUGCUAAUUAAUUAGCGAAACCAAUAUCUCAGAUAUGAAAUUCCAAGCUCAGUUACUCAGGUUAGCUGAAAAUCUGUUUUUCUAAUUAUUGACUACUUUCUGCUACUUUAAGUCCACCACCUAAGUUCUUGGACCGAGCUCACUUCUGGGAGCUGGGGAGGUCUCCAAUGGCAACACAGUUCCUCACUGAAUAGGGCAGUGGGAGGAAGCGACUGCAGCUGUUGGAGUCACUGAGGAUUUGGGGAAAAAAAAAGGCUAAGACCUUUUGACAAAAUUUCAGUGAGGUGUAAUCCUCUAAAGUUACGAAUACACUUAUACUCUUCAAAUCAACACAGGCUUCAAAAGGUAUAUGUCAAGGGAAUAAUGAUUUGGACUCAUCUGGAAAAAAAAUCUGCAUAUAUAUUGUUGUUGUGUUCUUAUGUUCUUGAUUGUUUGGUUUUAUUUCUGAAUUCCUGAAGCUAAAUUUUUAUUUCUAAUUUGAUGGGAAUUUAUGCAGAUUGUUUUCUCGUUACUCCCAGUAUGUACAAUUUACAUUACAUAUCUGAUUGUUUACAUCUGGGGACACACACACACACAUAUAUAUACACAUAUACAUAUGUACACAUAUAAGCAUAUAUAUCUAUAAAUAUACACAUAUACAUAUGGGAGAGAUUUUGAAAUCUGUCGAAUCUAUGUUUCAGUAAUCUGCCCCCAGGGUAGGGAGAUUUGACAUAGCACAAGGAACAGCGAUUUGUGAGAAAUAAACUGUGGCAUAUUUUUACCCCACCAAGCUGAGACAAUUCAAUAAACCCUUCAACUGUCACCUAAACAUCAAACAAAUAAAUACCAACAAGUACACUUCAGAAAAAAAAGGGGUCAAUAUAAAAAAAUAAACAUGAGACUUAUAUGAACAUCUCACAUGUUUAUUAUAUUUCUCUCUCUCCUAUGUUAUUGUAUUUGUGAGCCUGCAUUUCUUUUCUGAUUAUAGUGGUUUUCAGAAGGGUUAGAAGGAACAAGAAGGUCGCUAACGGUCCUUGAGCAUAACCAUGCUGCAGGCAGUGGGCAGUGUGUUCAAUGUGUGUGUCUCAUUGUAACUUUACAACACAUAAAGUUAUAAAAUAAGUAAAAUAUAAGAAUUGUCCUUCCUAGGUGACAGCUGAGAACACGGAAGCUCAGA
rnacentral:lncRNA from 1 species